rnacentral:rRNA from 1 species
UACGAAGGGGGCUAGCGUUGCUCGGAAUCACUGGGCGUAAAGCGCACGUAGGCGGCUUUUUAAGUCAGGGGUGAAAUCCUGGAGCUCAACUCCAGAACUGCCUUUGAUACUGGGAAGCUCGAGUCCGGGAGAGGUGAGUGGAACUCCGAGUGUAGAGGUGAAAUUCGUAGAUAUUGGGAGGAACACCAGUGGCGAAAGCGAACUUCUGGGUUGUUACUGACGCUGAGGUACGAAAGCGUGGGGAGCAAACGGG